ACAUGGCAGGAAUCCUGAAGAGAUUGGGAGUGCUCGAAGAGAACCUGCACACAGGUGCUGCAUGGCUGUCGUCAGCUCGUGUCGUGAGAUGUUGGGUUAAGUCCCGCAACGAGCGCAACCCUUGCCAUUAGUUGCUACGAAAGGGCACUCUAAUGGGACUGCCGGUGACAAACCGGAGGAAGGUGGGGAUGACGUCAAGUCCUCAUGGCCCUUAUAGGUGGGGCUACACACGUCAUACAAUGGCCGGUACAGAGGGUAGCCAACCCGCGAGGGGGAGCCAAUCCCACAAAGCCGGUCGUAGUCCGGAUCGCAGUCUGCAACUCGACUGCGUGAAGUCGGAAUCGCUAGUAAUCGCGGAUCAGCAUGUCGCGGUGAAUACGUUCCCGGGUCUU
rnacentral:rRNA from 1 species